AAGACACAAUAGUCAGGAGAGCAUUUUAUAAAACAUACAAUGUCACACAAACAUAAGCAACAGUUUUUAUUAUUGCCCUGGGCCCCAAGUCUAGAGUCAAUAACUUGACAAAAGUCAUGGGCUCCUUGGAAGGGUGACAAGCAUACCUGGGCCUAUCCCUCAUGUUGGUUAACCUCACAGCAUGCCAGAGGUCAUGUUUACAGCACAACAUCAAUUGGAACAAUAAUACUACAUUCCAGGGUUGCUGGGAAGCCUGAAAUUCUACAUAGAUAUCUGUGAUACAAUGGGAUGUAAAUCAAGAAAAUUCUAUUCACCACUUUGGUUUGGUGUAAGAAUAAAAUAUAUUAAAGCCAAAGUUCAAAAAAAACAAAAAACAAAACAAAAAAAAAGCCAAAGUUCUUGUAGCUGUUCUUGGCAAUAGUAUACACUCAGUAAAUAGUAGUAAUCGUUAUUUUUCCUUUUUGUUUGCUAAAGUAAAAAAUUAAUCUCUGUUAUAUACCCCUGCUCUGCGUGUUAUAGAGAUGCAAUAGUGUAAUAAGUCUCAAAACAUUUAGAGAAGCUACUCACAUGUAAAAAAGUUUCCUCUGAUCCUUACUCAGACCUUGCCUCUGCCACAUUCUGGGGGACAUGACCACUAGAUCGAAGCUGUGUGGCUCUGAACAGGCAGGCUUGCAACAGACUGUGGAGGAGUUGACCAACAGCCAAGAAGGUAACUACUCACUCCAGCCUCAUCCACAGAAGGAGAAGAAUGGAAUUCUGCUUGCUGAGGAGCUUCCAGAACUAACAUUCUAAUUCAUGCCAAAUACCAAGGGCACUGCCUCUUGUGGUUUCCUGAAGCUCCUGAGCUGCCUUUUCUCACCACUGGGAUUUUCAGGUCCACUAUCACUUUAGGUGCU
rnacentral:lncRNA from 1 species